rnacentral:rRNA from 1 species
AAAAUUGGACAAUGGGGGCAACCUGAUCCAGCCAUGCCGCGUGUGUGAUGACGGCUUAGGGUUGUAAAGCACCUUCAGCAGUGAAGAUAAUGACAUUAACUGCAGAAGAAGCCCCGGCUAACUUCGUGCCACCAGCCGCGGUAAUACGAAGGGGGCUAGCGUUGUUCGGAAUCACUGGGCGUAAAGCGUACGUAGGCGGACUGAUCAGUCAGGGGUGAAAUCCCGGGGCUCAACCCCGGAACUGCCUUUGAUACUGUCAGUCUUGAGAUCGAGAGAGGUGAGUGGAACUCCGAGUGUAGAGGUGAAAUUCGUAGAUAUUCGGAAGAACACCAGUGGCGAAGGCGGCUCACUGGCUCGAUACUGCCGCUGAGGUACGAAAGCGUGGGGAGCAAACAGGAUUAGAUACCCUGGUAGUCCACGCCGUA